UACGUAGGCAGCAAGCGUUGUUCGGAGUUACUGGGCGUAAAGGGUGCGUAGGCGGCUUUUUAAGUUUGGUGUGAAAUCUCCCGGCUCAACUGGGAGGGUGCGCCGAAUACUGAGAGGCUAGAGUGUGGGAGAGGAAAGUGGAAUUCCUGGUGUAGCGGUGAAAUGCGUAGAUAUCGGGAGGAACACCUGUGGCGAAAGCGGCUCACUGGACCAUAACUGACGCUGAUGCACGAAAGCUGGGGGGAGCAAACAGG
rnacentral:rRNA from 1 species